AGGUGAUAAGGAUCCACUGAGUCUUCCAUAUAAAGAUCAUAUUCCUGCUCCAAGUGGCCAUUACUGAGCUGAGAGAUGUCAUUGCCACAGGGAGGACCUAUAGGCACAUGUAGGUUGAAUGAAACUCUAGUUCUACCUGGAAGCCCAGACAAGGGAUGGGUCAGUGAGCAAGACUCUCUUCCUAGUCUCAGGCCAUACCUGUGGCACCCUGAUCCUAUUCUCAUGACAUUGGACCUGGGCAGAUGUGACAAAUUCAGAGAACUAUGAUUUUGACUCAAGGGUUUGUAGAUUUCCUUUUUCACUCUAAUUUCAGUGUCUAAAGUCCUCACAACCAUGAACAAUCUGAGUAUUUGAUGAGACAGGGCUAAAUAUUGCAGUUUUUCUCCUAGAAAUCAUUUGAGGGUAUUUGCUUUAAGUUGAUUGGAAAAAUAUGGCGUAACUGUUUGCACAAACUUGGGACAAAUGAUAUUGGGAUAACGAUCUACUAGAAUAGGGACAUUUUACCCACAGUUUCUGGGAGAAAAACCGAGGAAUUUCUAUCAUGACCAGCCUUCAGGCCUCCUGAAAUAUAUCUCUCACAGUGUCCUAUUCUUAUGCUGAGGAGCCUGAGGUCCCUGUGUGAGGAUUAGACAGUGGAUUGUUAUGUGUGUAGGGGAAUCAGCUUAAUGUGUCUG
rnacentral:lncRNA from 1 species